rnacentral:rRNA from 1 species
UACGUAGGGUGCAAGCGUUAAUCGGAAUUACUGGGCGUAAAGGGCGCGUAGGCGGCCUUCUAAGUCAGACGUGAAAUCCCCCGGCUUAACCUGGGAACUGCGUCUGAUACUGGGAGGCUAGAGUGCGGGAGAGGGAUGCGGAAUUCCAGGUGUAGCGGUGAAAUGCGUAGAUAUCUGGAGGAACACCGGUGGCGAAGGCGGCAUCCUGGACCGACACUGACGCUGAGGCGCGAAAGCUAGGGUAGCAAACGGGGAUUAAGA